rnacentral:rRNA from 1 species
CCUACGGGAGGCACCAGUGGGGAAUAUUGGACAAUGGGGGCAACCCUGAUCCAGCAAUGCCGCGUGUAUGAAGAAGGUCUUCGGAUUGUAAAGUACUUUCGACAGGGACGAUGAUGACGGUACCUGUAGAAGAAGCCCCGGCUAACUUCGUGCCAGCAGCCGCGGUAAUACGAAGGGGGCUAGCGUUACUCGGAAUGACUGGGCGUAAAGCGCGCGUAGGCGGCUUAUACAGUCAGAUGUGAAAUUCCUGGGCUUAACCUGGGACCUGCAUUUGAUACGUAUAGGCUAGAGCGUGAAAGAGGAUUGUGGAAUUCCAAGUGUAGACGUGAAAUUCGUAGGUAUUUGGAGGAACACCGGUGGCGAAGGCGGCAAUCUGGUUCACAACUGACGCUGAGGCGCGAAACCGUGGGGAGCAAACAGGAUUAGAUACCCGAGUAGUC